AGCCGUUUGACUGUGAGGGCAUUGAUGAAACUCAACCGGCAAAAGAGCCCAAGACCCGAGAGUGUAUGAUCUCAAGACAACCCUGUGAGGUGGUAAUCUGAAGCUUGGAGAGACGAAGAAAAUUGCCCAAGUCUCCCAGCUGAGCGUGCCCGAGAGAGAGGAGCACCCUGGACGAGGCCUCGUCAUAGCACGACCCACCCCAGCCUGCCAGCCUGCCAGGAC